AUGUUGUGCUCUUCACCCAUCACGUCAUUUUGUCAAGUUCAUGUUAUUUUCUUGCUUAUCCAUUUAACCGGAGUGUUAUGUUCUCUGCUAAGUUCUUUUCAUCUUAUCAAGUCUUGCAUCUCUUUUCAACCGGAGUGCUGUCCAAAUUUGGUCUUCCUUGUUCCUUGUUUAUCUCGUUUCAACCAAAGUGGUUCCAAUUCCUUCUUGUCCAUUGUACUCGUCAUUCAUAGCUUUGCAACCUCCAAGGUUCAAAUGGUGUUCCUUGUUUCUAUUUUCUACAACACUGCUCUCAAUUGUGUUCAACUCCGUUGUGUUCUUUCUUUCAACUUUUCAACCUCUCAAGGUUCUUUGGUUUCACUCUUUUGUCGAAGAAGCAACUUAGUUCUACCUCUUCUCUUCCUCUUUCGUUUCUCUCCAGUGCCAUCCUAG
rnacentral:rRNA from 1 species